UACGAAGGGAGCAAGCGUUGUUCGGAAUAACUGGGCGUAAAGGGCGCGUAGGCGGCCUGAUAAGUCAGAUGUGAAAGCCCUGGGCUUAACCUAGGAAUAGCAUUUGAUACUGUUGGGCUAGAGUGUUGAAGGGGAUGAUGGAAUUAUGCAUGGAGAGGUGGAAUUCAUAGAUAUGCAUAGGAACACCGGUGGCGAAGGCGAUCAUCUGGACAACAACUGACGCUGAGGCGCGAAAGCGUGGGGAGCAAACAGG
rnacentral:rRNA from 1 species